AGAGUUUGAUCCUGGCUCAGGACGAACGCUGGCGGCGUGCUUAACACAUGCAAGUCGAGCGGAAAGGCCCUUCAGGGUACUCGAGCGGCGAACGGGUGAAGUAACACGUGAGUAAUCUGCCCCUAGCUCUGGGAUAGCUCCGGGAAACCGGGAUUAAUACCAGAUACGACCACCUUAGACAUCUUUAGUGGUGGAAAGAA
rnacentral:rRNA from 1 species